rnacentral:rRNA from 1 species
UACGUAGGGGGCUAGCGUUAUCCGGAAUUACUGGGCGUAAAGGGUGCGUAGGUGGUUUCUUAAGUCAGAGGUGAAAGGCUACGGCUCAACCGUAGUAAGCCUUUGAAACUGGGGAACUUGAGUGCAGGAGAGGAGAGUGGGAUUCCUAGUGUAGCGGUGAAAUGCGUAGAUAUUAGGAGGAACACCAGUUGCGAAGGCGGCUCUCUGGACUGUAACUAACACUGAGGCACGAAAGCGUGGGGAGCAAACAGG